rnacentral:rRNA from 1 species
AAUUGCCCCCAUAGCAACACAUCGCUGAGGCAGCGAAGAGAAAUAGCAACUUCAUGUGGCCCUGCCGUGUGAAGAUUGUCAUGGACAAUAUCUAAAAACUGUCGGUGAGUAUCAAUUGGUGGACAAGUCUGGCGCCAACACCCGCGGUAAUUCCAGCACCAAUAGCGUAUAUUGAUGCUGCUGCUGUUAAAAAACUUGUAAUUGGAUCAAGAGUUCGACAGUGCACGGUGACCCUGUUUGUCACGGUGGUUCCGAUAACCGUGGCGGCAGCGGAUAAACCCCGUGCGCCAAACUGUCGACUCUAACAGACCGAAACGGUUCCCUGUGAGUAGGCUCCUUAAUUGGGGCUGAAAGCGACUACGCAUCAACCAUAUGCAUAUGGGACGUCGGUCAAUGUUAUUGCGAACAAACCAGCGUGUCCAAAGCAGGUUUUCGCCUGAAUGUUCGAGCAUGGAAUAACAAGGGAUCGAUUCUCUCGGUUUUGUUGGUUUUUAACCCGAGAAGGAGUAAUUCAGGCCACGGUGUCUGAGUUGGGUUUCCCUUCAUUUCGGUGGGGGCCCCAAUCAGGCCGUGUCCUUACGGGAUCAAUAGGGACUGACGGGCUCGUACGUACUUCCACGUCAGAGGUGGAAUUCUUAGAUCGUGGGAAGACGAACUUCUGCGGAAGCAUUCGACAAGAAUGUCUUCAUUAAUCAAGAACGAGAGUGUGGGGAUCGAAGAUGAUCAGAUACCGUCGUAGUCCACUACUGUAAACAAUGCCGUCCCAGGAUUGAGAAGUGAACAUAUUGACUUUCACAGCACUAACCCCUGAAAUGAGAAAUCGAAGAUUAUGGGUUCAGGGGGGAGUACAUUCGCAAGGCUGGAACUUAAAGGAAUUGACGGAAUGACACCACAAGGCGUGGAGUAUGCGGCUUGAUUUUAGCUCAACACUGGGGAUUUUACUAAGCCAGGGCAAUGUACGGAUUUACAGAUUGAGAGCUCUUUCUCGAUCCGUUGUGUGGUGGUGCACGGCCGCUCCUGGUUGGUGGAGUGAUUUGUCUGGUUGAUUCCGUGAACGAACGAGAUCUCGACCCUUAAAUAGGUGCCCGUGUCGAUUGUAGUUUCGCCUCCGCGUACUUGUACGAUUGGAGCGGGACGAGACUGCGGGAAUACUUCUUAAGGGGACUGUGUGCGUCUCUAGCACGCGGAAGAGCGAGCCAAUAGCAGGUCUGUGAUGCUCCUCAAUGUCCUAGGCUGUACGCGCACUACACUGAUGCAAUAAACGAGUCUGAGUGCCUUCUGGCAACCUACCUGGAAGCGGGUGGGAAGUUUUUUGAACUUGCAUCGUGAUGAGGAUCGACGAUUGCAAUCAUUCUCCUUGAAUGAGGAAUGCCUAGUAGGCACAAGUCAUCAGCUUGUACUGAUUACGUCCCUGCCAUUUAUUUGUCCACACCGCCCGUCGUUGCUAUUGAUUGGCUGUAGGGUAGAGAUGGGUGGAUUUCGAACCAGUUGGGGUGACCCUUCUGUUGGGAGAAACCUAUCCAUAUCGCAGUAAAACCCAG